rnacentral:rRNA from 1 species
GACGAACGCUUGCGGCGUGCCUAAGAAAUGCAAGUCGAGCGGUUCGCGCUCCCACUGGGGGAGGGAGAAGGCCAAAGCGCCAGGGCCAAAGGCGACGGCAGCGCCGUUUGCUGGGGUCUUGUCUGUGGGGUCUUGUGCCUUUCGAGUGGGGGCGGGAAUAGCGGCGAACGGUCGCGUAACACGUAAGCAACCUGCCCCGCAGACCGGGACAACGCUCCGAAAGGGGCGCUAAUACCGGAUGUGGCCGAGCGUAGACCUCUACGUUCGUCUAAAUCCUCGCAAGAGGGCUACGGGAGGGGCUUGCGGCCUACCAGUUAGUUGGUGGGGUAACGGCCUACCAAGGCGACGACGGGUAGCGGGUCUGAGAGGACGAUCCGCCGGACUGGGACUGAGAGACGGCCCAGACUCCGUAC